rnacentral:rRNA from 1 species
AUUGAACGCUGGCGGCAUGCCUUACACAUGCAAGUCGAACGGCAGCACGGGAGCAAUCCUGGUGGCGAGUGGCGAACGGGUGAGUAAUACAUCGGAACGUGCCCAAUCGUGGGGGAUAACGCAGCGAAAGCUGUGCUAAUACCGCAUAAGAUCUACGGAUGAAAGCAGGGGAUCGCAAGACCUUGCGCGAAUGGAGCGGCCGAUGGCAGAUUAGGUAGUUGGUGAGGUAAAGGCUCACCAAGCCUUCGAUCUGUAGCUGGUCUGAGAGGACGACCAGCCACACUGGGACUGAGACACGGCCCAGACUCCUACGGAGGCAGCAGU